GACGAACGCUGGCGGCGUGCCUAAUACAUGCAAGUUGAGCGCUGAAGGUUGGUACUUGUACCAACUGGAUGAGCAGCGAACGGGUGAGUAACGCGUGGGGAAUCUGCCUUUGAGCGGGGGACAACAUUUGGAAACGAAUGCUAAUACCGCAUAAAAACUUUAAACACAAGUUUUAAGUUUGAAAGAUGCAAUUGCAUCACUCAAAGAUGAUCCCGCGUUGUAUUAGCUAGUUGGUGAGGUAAAGGCUCACCAAGGCGAUGGUACAUAGCCGACCUGGGAGGGUGAUCGGCCACAUUGGGACUGGGACACGGCCCAAACUCCUACGGGAGGCAGCAGGAGGGAAUCUUCGGCAAUGGACGAAAGUCUGACCGAGCAACGCCGCGGGAGUGAAGAAGGUUUUCGGAUCGUAAAACUCUGUUGGUAGAGAAGAACGUUGGUGAGAGUGGAAAGCUCAUCAAGUGACGGUAACUACCCAGAAAGGGACGGCUAACUACGUG
rnacentral:rRNA from 1 species